AAAAAUAGAUACCUUAAAAUGACAUUCCAUUGGUGGGUGUGAAAAGACACGGAUAACCAAACAAAAUAAUUAUGAGCCAUUGAUAACAUCAAAUCGAACGGUUCACAUUUCUUUAUGCUAGUCUAGUUGGAUCCUCGUAAAAGCUUCCAAAACUUUAUAAUGUGGAAUCAUGCUAACACACUCUCCACCUACAUCUUACCAUCACUCUCACUUGUGAUUAUUCCUACCACAUGAAAUCCACACUAUAAAAUUUAUCACCUUUUCUUGUUCUCACCAAUUAGACUAUUAGGCUCUCGAAGGUUCAAGACUGACCUUCUCCACACUUUUAAUUAUUUUUUGUUGGGUUGAUAUCUUUUCUUGUUUCUAAAAAUUUUGAGUUCUUUUUGUUUAUGCUAGGUCCAUGAGUUGGGUAACAUAGCCUCGUUCAUGAACCUUCUUUACUGAUAUACUCAAAUGGAGUUUGUUGACCAUGUCUUCUAUUUCUCUGCCAU
rnacentral:lncRNA from 1 species